AUUCAGCUGACGAGUCCCAAACAGAACAAAACGCACGUCAAACUGAAU
rfam:Schistosoma curassoni strain Dakar, Senegal genome assembly, scaffold: SCTD_scaffold0005646